rnacentral:rRNA from 1 species
AUGGCCGGGAGGCUGACUGCGAUGGGAUCCCGCAUCAUGGGCGGCCACGGCGCAGCCGCGCGCGCCGCGGCCUCCGCCCUCCGCAACCGCGCCGGCAUGGGCCUCCCCGCCGGCAGGCACAUCGUCCCCGACAAGCCCCUGCCUGUGAACGACGAGCUGGUGUGGGACAAUGGCACACCCUUCCCUGAGCCCUGCGUCGACCGCCUGGCGCCGCACAUCGGCAAGUACGAGGCUCUGGCGUGGCUGUGUGGAGGUCUGAGCUUCUUCGCCGCUCUCGGCCUGGCCGCCGUUGUGAAUGACAAGGCCUCCAAGAUGCCAUAUACACCAAAAGUCUACCCGUUCGACAAUUUGAGAGCGGAACUUGGUGAUAGAUCAUAA